AAGUCAAGCUACUAAGGGCAUACGGUGAAUGCCUUGGCACUAAGAGCCGAUGAAGGACGUGGUAAGCUGCGAAAAGCUACGGGGAGCCGCAAGCAGGCUUUGAUCCGUAGAUGUCCGAAUGGGGAAACCCACCAUCCGUCAUGGGAUGGUAUCCUUCGGGAGGGGAACCCGGUGAACUGAAACAUCUAAGUAGCCGGAGGAAGAGAAAUCAAACGAGAUGCCCACAGUAGCGGCGAGCGAAGAGGGCAGAGCCUAAACCAGAGAGCUUCGGCUCCCUGGGGUUACGGACUGGCAUAAACCGAGUCAGGCCUAGCCGAAUCAUCUGGAAAGGUGAGCCACAGACCGUGAGAGCCGGGUAGGCGAAAGGCAGAGCAAGGGGGCCAGUAUCCAGAGUACCGCGAAGCACGAGGAAUUUUGCGGGAAGUCGGGGGGACCACCCUCCAAGGCUAAACACUUCUUAGUGACCGAUAGCGCAUAGUACCGUGAGGGAAAGGUGAAAAGAACC
rnacentral:rRNA from 1 species